UCCGUAGGUGAACCUGCGGAAGGAUCAUUAAAAAAAGAGAAACGUCCCGUUCUUUUUCAUAAGAAUGGGUUCUAUUCCCUUAAACCGUGUCUACAUACCUUUGUUGCUUUGGCAGGCCGCCUUCGGGCGUCGGCUCCGGCUGAUAGUGCCUGCCAGAGGACCCAAACUCUAUGUUUAGCGAUGUCUGAGUACUAUAUAAUAUUUAAAACUUUCAACAACGGAUCUCUUGGUUCUGGCAUCGAUGAAGAACGCAGCGAAAUGCGAUAAGUAAUGUGAAUUGCAGAAUUCAGUGAAUCAUCGAAUCUUUGAACGCACAUUGCGCCCCUUGGUAUUCCGAGGGGCAUGCCUGUUCGAGCGUCAUUAUAACCACUCAAGCCUGGCUUGGUAUUGGGGUUUUCGCGUGUUCGCGGCCCUUAAAAUCAGUGGCGGUGCCGUCUGGCUCUAAGCGUAGUAAUUUCUCUCGCUAUAGGGUUCCGGUGGUUACUUGCCAAAACCCCCCAUUUUUUCUAGGUUGACCUCGGAUCAGGUAGGGAUACCCGCUGAACUUAAGCAUAUC
rnacentral:rRNA from 1 species